UUUGUGGUCAAGUUUCUAAGAGCAAACGGUGGAUGCCUUGGCAUCUGGAGCCGAAGAAGGACGUAGAAAUCUGCGAUAAGCCUCGGGGAGCUGAUAAUCGAGCUGUGAGCCGAGGAUUUCCGAAUGGGGAAACCCCGCCAGGCGCUUUUGUGACCUGGUGACUCCCGCCUGAAUAUAUAGGGCGGGUAGAGGGAACGUGGGGAAGUGAAACAUCUCAGUACCCACAGGAAGAGAAAACAACAUGUGAUUCCGUGAGUAGUGGCGAGCGAAAACGGAUGAGGCUAAACCGAUCAUGUGUGAUAGCCGGCGGGCGUUGCAUGGUCGGGGUUGUGGGACACGUCACUCAGUUCUGCCGGACUGGGACGGUUACAGCGCAUCAUAGUCGAACCGGUUUGAAAGCCGGGCCGUAGUGGGUGCCAGCCCCGUAGACGAAAUGGUGUUAUGGCCGGAUGUGUAUCCCAAGUAGCACGGGGCCCGAGAAAUCCCGUGUGAAUCUGUCAGGACCACCUGAUAAGCCUAAAUACUCCCAGAUGACCGAUAGCGGACAAGUACCGUGAGGGAAAGGUGAAAAG
rnacentral:rRNA from 1 species